GCGCCCUUAGCUCAGUUGGUAGAGCAUCUGACUUUUAAUCAGGUGGUCGAUGGUUCGAGUCCAUCAGGGCGCACCA
rnacentral:tRNA from 2 species